GUCCUAGCUUCGGCUGGACCUAUACUAAAAUUGGAACGAUACAGAGAAGAUUAGCAUGGGCACUGCGCAAGGAUGACAAUCAAGACGUAGCAACGCCUAAAUGUAUG